CCACAAACUGCCUUCACAUUGGGGCUUUACACUCUCUUUUUGGCCUUUCUUCAAGUGUUGACAGUGUUCACUAACUGAUGACUACAAUGUCUAAGAAAACAAGCUUGAUGGAAUAGUUUCAGCUGCAUUUAAAGUAUAUUUAUGACAGGAAGACAGUGUUCAAAAUGUUUUGCUUAUUGAAAAAAAGCAACAUGCAGAAAUACAGGAGGUGAGGAAGAGUCGGAAGUUUAUAAGAAAGAAGUAUUGCAAUAGAGCUUUUGGAGAGAAGUGUGUAGGAUAGAUAACCUCUGGGCAACAUGGGUGUCUCAGAAUGACCUAAAGGAAGUCUGGAAUGAACAGUUCUGACUCAGAAUGGGACAUGCUGCCACAAGGUCUUGGGGAAUAAAAAGGC
rnacentral:lncRNA from 1 species